UACGUAGGGUGCGAGCGUUAAUCGGAAUUACUGGGCGUAAAGCGUGCGCAGGCGGUGAUGUAAGACAGAUGUGAAAUCCCCGGGCUUAACCUGGGAAUUGCAUUUGUGACUGCACGGCUAGAGUGUGUCAGAGGGGGGUAGAAUUCCACGUGUAGCAGUGAAAUGCGUAGAGAUGUGGAGGAAUACCGAUGGCGAAGGCAGCCCCCCUGGGAUAACACUGACGCUCAUGCACGAAAGCGUGGGGAGCAAACAGG
rnacentral:rRNA from 1 species